rnacentral:rRNA from 1 species
UUUCGCAAUGCCCGAAAGGGUGACGAAGCGACGCCGCGUGGGUGAGGAAGGCCCUCGGGUUGUAAAGCCCUGUCAGGAGUUAAGAAAUGUAAGUGCGCUAAUAUCGCAUUUAUUUGACGAAGGCUCCAAAGGAAGCCACGGCUAACUCUGUGCCAGCAGCCGCGGUAAUACAGAGGUGGCAAGCGUUGUUCGGAAUUAUUGGGCGUAAAGAGCACGUAGGUGGAUUUGUAAGUCAGAUGUGAAGGCCUUCUGUUCAACGGAAGAAUUGCAUCUGAAACUGCGAAUCUUGAGUAUAGGAGGGGAGAAUGGAACUUCUGGUGGAGCGGUGAAAUGCGUAGAUAUCAGAAGGAACGCCGGCGGCGAAAGCGAUUCUCUGGCCUAUUACUGACACUCAGUGUGCGAAAGCUAGGGGAGCAAACGGGAUUAGAUACCCCGGUAGUCCUAGCCGUAAACGAUGGGCACUAAGUAGAGGGGUUUUA